rnacentral:rRNA from 1 species
AAAUUGAAGAGUUUGAUCAUGGCUCAGAUUGAACGCUGGCGGCAGGCCUAACACAUGCAAGUCGAACGGUAACAGGAAGAAGCUUGCUUCUUUGCUGACGAGUGGCGGACGGGUGAGUAAUGUCUGGGAAACUGCCUGAUGGAGGGGGAUAACUACUGGAAACGGUAGCUAAUACCGCAUAACGUCGCAAGACCAAAGAGGGGGACCUUCGGGCC